rnacentral:misc_RNA from 1 species
CGAUCGGUAGACGCUACGGACUUAAAUAAUUUGAGCUUUAGUAGAAAAACUUACUAAAUGCUAGCUUUCAGAUUCAGGGAAUCUUAGGUUGACAAAAAAAAGAUAAGUAAUCCUGAGCCAAAUUUUCUAUUUAAAAAGCAAAAUAGGUGCAGAGACUCGAUGGAAGCUAUCCUAACAUGUGUAAAUGAAAUCCAAAAAAUUUCAUGAAAUUUUUUGGAUUUCAUUUACACGCGAGGAUAAAGAUAGAGUCCAAUUUUACAUGUUAAUUUUAACAACAAUUUAAAUUGUAGUAAAAAGAAAAUCCGUUGGCUUUAUUGACCGUGAGGGUUCAAGUCCCUCUACCCCCAAAAUACUUAAUUCAAAUUUUUUUAUUGACAGAAGUUUACAAUUUAUGUUAGGAUAAACUAAAGAAAAAAGCCGGAAUAGCUCAGUUGGUAGAGCAGAGGACUGAAAAUCCUCGUGUCAC